CCUACGGGGGGCAGCAGUGGGGAAUAUUGCACAAUGGGGGGAACCCUGAUGCAGCGACGCCGCGUGAGUGAAGAAGUAUUUCGGUAUGUAAAGCUCUAUCAGCAGGGAAGAUAAUGACGGUACCUGACUAAGAAGCCCCGGCUAACUACGUGCCAGCAGCCGCGGUAAUACGUAGGGGGCAAGCGUUAUCCGGAUUUACUGGGUGUAAGGGGAGCGUAGACGGCCAGACAAGUCAGAAGUGAAAGCCCAGGGCUCAACCCUGGGACUGCUUUUGAAACUACCGAACUAGAGUGUCGGAGAGGUAA
rnacentral:rRNA from 1 species